CCUACGGGGGGCAGCAGUGGGGGAUAUUGCACAAUGGGGGAAACCCUGAUGCAGCGACGCCGCGUGAGUGAAGAAGUAUUUCGGUAUGUAAAGCUCUAUCAGCAGGGAAGAAAAUGACAGUACCUGACCAAGAAGCCGCGGCUAACUACGUGCCAGCAGCCGCGGUAAUACGUAGGGGGCAAGCGUUAUCCGGAUUUACUGGGUGUAAAGGGAGCGUAGACGGUUAUGUAAGUCUGGAGUGAAAGCCCGGGGCCCAACCCCGGGACUGCUUUGGAAACUGUGUAACUGGAGUGCAGGAGGGGCAGGCGGAAUUCCUGGUGUAGCGGUGAAAUGCGUAGAUAUCAGGAGGAACACCGGCGGCGAAGGCGGCCUGCUGGACUGAAACUGACGUUGAGGCUCGAAAGCGUGGGGAGCAAACAGGAUUAGAUACCCCAGUAGUC
rnacentral:rRNA from 1 species